rnacentral:lncRNA from 1 species
UGUGUCCCAGUUGUUUUUGCGAAGCUUUAACCUUUUAAGCUGAAAGAGAAAAGUUGAAGCAUUGGUGAGAACUUUACCAAAAUCAAGUAAUAAACACUUACAGAAACUGGAUGGGAGUUAAUUUCAAUAAAUCUAAAAGCUAGUUAGGUGAGCUACGUGCACAAGUACAGGCAUGUCGACUUCACUUUUUCUUAGGUGGUUAGAAACUAAAUCCUUCUUGACUAAUUGAAAUGAAGUGAUAAUUAUUCAAGAAUUUGCUACUUUUCUCCAUUUUCAUUUGAAUAAACUCACUUUUAGGCUGAUGCAUCCCUCAAGAUGCCAACCCUGACAAAAUAUAAUCGAUAUGCCCUUCUCUUAGCUUUUCCUCAAUCAUUUGUACUUCAAGAUCAAACAGAUAAAAGAAAGCAGAUAAAGACAUCUAACAAAAUUAAGGUCACUGAGAAUUGUAUUCCCUGCAUAUCCAACUGUCAGAUAGCAACA